GAUGAACGCUGGCGGCGUGCCUAAUACAUGCAAGUCGAGCGAACAGAUGAGAAGCUUGCUUCUCUGACGUUAGCGGCGGACGGGUGAGUAACACGUGGGUAACCUACCUAUAAGACUGGGAUAACUUCGGGAAACCGUAGCUAAUACCGGAUAAUAUUUCGAACCGCAUGGUUCGAUAGUGAAAGAUGGUUUUGCUGUCACUUAUAGAUGGACCCGCGCCGUAUUAGCUAGUUGGUAAGGUAACGGCUUACCAAGGCGACGAUACGUAGCCGACCUGAGAGGGUGAUCGGCCACACUGGAACUGAGACACGGUCCAGACUCCUACGGGAGGCAGCAGUAGGGAAUCUUCCGCAAUGGGCGAAAGCCUGACGGAGCAACGCCGCGUGAGUGAUGAAGGUCUUCGGAUCGUAAAACUCUGUUAUUAGGGAAGAACAUACGUGUAAGUAACUGUGCACGUCUUGACGGUACCUAAUCAGAAAGCCACGGCUAACUACGUG
rnacentral:rRNA from 1 species